rnacentral:pre_miRNA from 1 species
AAUGAGUAUAUUUUUUGCAUUGUUUAUGUUUAAGGUUUGAUUGUCCGUCUUAUUUAAAAAUGUUUCAUGAUUAAUAUUUUUAUUAUUAUUAGAUGAUAGAACAUGAAUAAUAUUUUAUUUGUAACUAUUUUAAAUUUUUUAAUAAAAUUUUGAAAUAAGACACAACGGUCAAAUGUCAGACACGGAAAUACAGUUAUA